rnacentral:rRNA from 1 species
UUCCAAGGCCAUUGCUUCAAGAUGCACGAUCCAUAUUACUAUCGCAUUGCGCGUUCAUCGAUGCAACAGAGAUCCGGAAGUUUGAUCUAUUAAUAAUAAAUCAAGUGGCGUAAUAAAAAGUUUGUUAGUUAUAACCUCUGGCGGUAGAUUGCUCCCGCCACAAAAAUUUGUAAUAAAAACACAGUGGCAAUUAAGCAAAUCAGUAAGCUUCCGUAGGUGAACUGCGGAAGGAUCAUUACUGAUUUGUUAAUUCRCCACMUGUGUUUUUUAUUGAACAAAUUUCUUUGGUGGCGGGAGCAAUCCUACCGCCAGAGGUUAUAACUAAACCAAACUUUUUAUUUACAGUCAAACUUGAUUUAUUAUUACAAUAGUCAAAACUUUCAACAACGGAUCUCUUGGUUCUCGCAUCGAUGAAGAACGCAGCGAAAUGCGAUACGUAAUAUGAAUUGCAGAUAUUCGUGAAUCAUCGAAUCUUUGAACGCACAUUGCGCCCUUUGGUAUUCCAAAGGGCAUGCCUGUUUGAGCGUCAUUUCUCCCUCAAACCCCCGGGUUUGGUGUUGAGCAAUACGCUAGGUUUGUUUGAAAGAAUUUAACGUGGAAACUUAUUUUAAGCGACUUAGGUUUAUCCAAAACGCUUAUUUUGCUAGUGGCCACCACAAUUUAUUUCAUAACUUUGACCUCAAAUCAGGRGACUACCCGCUGAACUUAACAUAUAUAGGAGAA